rnacentral:lncRNA from 1 species
GCUUAAAGAGCAUUCUGUUUUAAAAAACCGUGUUUUUUAUAUCUCUCUCCUCGCUCAGCUCUCAAACCAGAAGCAAGUGCCACAGAAAUUCCUCGCUACACUGCCCUUGAUUCCCAAAUCUUCUCCAAAUCGAAGAGAGCCACGGAAAUUCGAAGGCUUAGCCCUCAGUUCGUAACCCGAUCCACUCCAGAAAUUCAAAGCCCAGAUCGCGAUUGCUGCAGACCUAGGUUCAGAUCACUGAGUUCUGAACUUCUCUGAGUUCUUAUGGCCCUCAGUUCGUGAUCCUUGACAAAACUUCCUCCGAGUUCUUCACAUCCUGACUUUUCAACGACGCCGAAAUCGAAACUCCACCGCCAAAAGAAAAGAAGGUAAGUCCCUUUCCGGACAGAUAUAUGCAAAAUUUACGAUUCACUUGUUAUUUAAUCGUUUUACAUUAUCUGAUUAUUUGAUUUUCUUUCAAUUUGUCCGUCGGCGGAGAUAACCCAGUUGAGAAGAUAAGCUUCAAAACCCUAAAUAUGAAAACAGGAAAAAAAACUACUUUUUUUUCUUCUUGAUUUUAAUGAAUGAUAUUAAAAAAUUAAGUAAAAAUUACUUCUACAGAUCAAAUGUGAUUAUUAAAAAAAUCUGAUACUUAUUUUUUCUUGCUACUUUUUUUUCUUCUUGAUUUUAAUGAAUUAUAUUUUCUGUUAAAAUGCAGUGUGACAACUUGGAUUUGGUAAUUGGAUGCAUGUGGUAUAAUUCAUAACAAAUUCCACUUUACUGAUGUUUACAGUGGUUCUAUCUUGGAUGUACCACAAUUUCCAAUCAUAUGGGUUUCUUUGAUUUUGCUACUUUGGAAUUUCUUUGGAACCAUCUCUAUCCAAAAAGAUGCUUAAAUAGGAAAAUUUGUAAUUAUAAUUUGGGAGAUGUAAUGAAUUGAUUGUAAUGGGAGAUGCACAAAUUUAUUCUGUUUUAUGUCUCUUUCUAUGGUUUGUAUGGCUGGACACCUGUUGCAACUAAUACUGAAACAUUACAGAUGAUUGAAUUUGGAAUCACUGUUACAUCAAAAUUAUGCAUAUAGUACUGAAACAUUACAGAUGAUAAAAUUCGGAAUCACUGUUACAUCAAAAUUAAACAUAUAGUACUAAAACAUUACAAAUGAUAAAAUUUUGCAUUACAUGCUCCAUCAAAAUUAAGCUGGCCAGUAACCCCAGCUUGACAUUGGACUGACAUUCAUCAAAGGGCUCCCGAAUGUGAGAUACUACAUAUGUAAAUAUAUGCAAAACAAAAUUUGUUCACUAACUUUAAAUUCUUUUUCAUUGACAG